CUGGCAGUCAGAGGCGAUGAAGGACGUGCUAAUCUGCGAAAAGCUCCGGUAAGGUGAUAUGAACCGUUAUAACCGGCGAUGUCCGAAUGGGGAAACCCAGUGUGACUCGUCACACUAUCAUUAACUGAAUCCAUAGGUUAAUGAGGCGAACCGGGGGAACUGAAACAUCUAAGUACCCCGAGGAAAAGAAAUCAACCGAGAUUCCCCCAGUAGCGGCGAGCGAACGGGGAGGAGCCCAGAGCCUGAAUCAGCAUGUGUGUUAGUGGAAGCGUCUGGAAAGGCGCGCGAUACAGGGUGACAGCCCCGUACACAAAAGCGCAUGUGCUGUGAGCUCGAUGAGUAGGGCGGGACACGUGGUAUCCUGUCUGAAUAUGGGGGGACCAUCCUCCAAGGCUAAAUACUCCUGACUGACCGAUAGUGAACCAGUACCGUGAGGGAAAGGCGAAAAGAACCCCGGCGAGGGGAGUGAAACAGAACCUGAAACCGUGUACGUACAAGCAGUGGGAGCGCCACCACCAAAGCGUUUCGCUUUGCGUGGUGCGCAAAAUGCGUAACGACAGCACGAUUGCGGUUAACGGAGCGUAAGCGACGUUCAACACAAGAAUCAGGCAGUGGAGCGUU
rnacentral:rRNA from 1 species